CCUACGGGAGGCAGCAGUGGGGAAUAUUGGACAAUGGGCGCAAGCCUGAUCCAGCCAUGCCGCGUGAGUGAUGAAGGCCUUAGGGUUGUAAAGCUCUUUUGCCAGGGAAGAUAAUGACUGUACCUGGAGAAUAAGCCCCGGCUAACUUCGUGCCAGCAGCCGCGGUAAUACGAAGGGGGCUAGCGUUGUUCGGAAUCACUGGGCGUAAAGCGCACGUAGGCGGACUUUUAAGUCAGGGGUGAAAGCCUGAGGCUCAACCUCAGAACUGCCCUUGAUACUGGGAGUCUUGAGUAUGGUAGAGGUUGGUGGAACAGCAAGUGUAGAGGUGAAAUUCGUAGAUAUUUGCUAGAACACCAGUGGCGAAGGCGGCCAACUGGACCAUAACUGACGCUGAGGUGCGAAAGCGUGGGGAGCAAACAGGAUUAGAUACCCUGGUAGUCCACGCCGUAAACGAUGGAUGCUAGCCGUUAGCCAGCUUGCUGGGUAGUGGCGCAGGUAACCCUUUAAGCAUCCCGCCUGGGGAGUACGGUCGCAAGAUUAAAACUCAAAUGAAUUGACGG
rnacentral:rRNA from 1 species